rnacentral:tRNA from 1 species
GAGGGUAUAGCUCAACGGUAGAGUAUGUGCUUAGCAUGCAAGAGGUCCUGGGUCCAAUCCCCAGUACACCUA